CUGUAAAGUUUGUUUCAUGGGCUCAGGACGAACGCUGGCGUACGUGCUUAAUCACAUGCAAAUCGAGCGGUAAGGCGCCUUUCGUGGGUACACGAGCGGCGAACAGGGUGGAGUAAUCCCAGUCGGGCUAGUCUGGUGCUGUACUCUGGGGAUAAGCCUCGGCAACCUGGCUCUCAUUACCUGAAUAUGACCUCCUACUCGCAUCGUCGGGGGGUCGGAAAAGGUUUACUGGUGCAUGGAUGGGCCCGCGGCCUAUCAGCUUGUUGGUGGGGGUAAUGGGGCUAUCAAGUCGCCGACGGGUAGCCGGCCUGAGAGGGCGACCGACCACACUGGGACUGAGACACGGCCCAGACUCCUACGGGAGGCAGCAGUGGGGGAAUAUUGCACAAUGGGCGAAAGCCUGAUGCAGCGACGCCGCCUGACGGGAUGGACGGGCUUCGGGUUGUAAUCCUCUUUCAGCAGGGUCGAAGCGCAAGUGACGGUACCUGCAGAAGAAGCACCGGCCACCUACGUGCCAGCAGCCGCGGUAAUACGUAGGGGUGCGAGCGUUGUCCGGAAUUACUGGGCGUAAAGAGCUCGUAGGCGGUUUGUCGCGUCGUUUGUGAAAACACGCAGCUCAUCUGCGGGCUUGCAGGCGAUACGGGCAGGCUUGAGUACUGCAGGAGAGACUGGAAUUCCUGGUGUAGCGGUGAAAAGCGCAGAUAUCAGGAGGAACAACGGUGGCGAAGGCGGGUCUCUGGGCAGUAGCUGACGCUGAGGAGCGAAAGCAUGGGUAGCGAACAGGAUUAGAUGCCCUGGUAGUACACCCCGUAAUCGGUGGCGCUAGGUGUGGGUUUCCUUGCACGGGAUCCGUGCCGUAGCUAACGCAUUUAAGACCCCGGCCA
rnacentral:rRNA from 1 species